GCUGACCCUUAUCAUCAUCUGACAGGCCAAGCAUUUGGGUAUCCGUGGCUCACUGUCUGUCUGCUACCCUAAUGAAGAAAGGGACUCUUGGUUCACUUCUUUAUCCUCAGUACCUAGAAUCAUAAUGGGCCAAGGUAAGCCCUUCGUUAAUAUUGUUGAGUGCAUUAGCCUCCUCGAGGAGGUAGGAAAGAAUGUUUUUAUAUUUCUUCCUACCCUCUGUUUAGCUCAGUGAAGCCACCAGCCGCUUCCUUGCAGCUGAUUGGAGGUCUCCUCCCACGUGGCCCAGAACAUCCUGCAUGUGAUCUAUCCACUCUGGGGACUUUCUGGGGGGCCACUCUUCCCAGGGUGGCACCGGGUUGUUGUUUUCUGUUCUGGAGUCCUGCCAGUGCUUUCCCGGUUGAUGGGAAUUUACCACAUUUCAGUUUCUUUUUUGAAUAAUAAAGUCUCCUCAUGAACCCUUGUUGUUCCUUCCCUUAGGAGGAAGCUAUCUUGUUUUUCAGUUUGAAGUUCAGGGCAGAGAAAACACGGUGGAUGGAAGGGCUGCCAGUCAUCCCGUUGCCCCGCCCCCUUCACAUGUACACAAAGGAAGGAGGAAAAGAAGGAACGUGCAAGGAACUUAGAGCUGAAAUCUCCAAAAGGAAUCAAGAAUGUCAGUGUUGGAGGGUCGUACAGAUCAUCUCCUCUCCCACUGGUUGUCCCCCUACUAUGGUGGAUACCCCAAUGGAUGCUCUUCCCCAGGGGACCCCUCUGCCAUCACAAUUACUAAAUGAAGGACAUAAGUGGCAGGAAAACUUAGCCUGGGUUAUUUCAGUGGAAUCCUGGUAGGUGACAC
rnacentral:lncRNA from 1 species